rnacentral:rRNA from 1 species
AACGCGAAGAACCUUACCAGGUCUUGACAUCCCGAUGAAAGCAUUAGAGAUAGUGCCCCUCUUCGGAGCAUCGGAGACAGGUGGUGCAUGGUUGUCGUCAGCUCGUGUCGUGAGAUGUUGGGUUAAGUCCCGCAACGAGCGCAACCCUUGACUUUAGUUGCCAGCAGGUAAGGCUGGGCACUCUAGAGUGACUGCCGGUGACAAACCGGAGGAAGGUGGGGAUGACGUCAAAUCAUCAUGCCCCUUAUGACCUGGGCUACACACGUACUACAAUGGCCGGUACAACGGGAAGCGAAACCGCGAGGUGGAGCCAAUCCCAGCAAAGCCGGUCUCAGUUCGGAUUGCAGGCUGCAACUCGCCUGCAUGAAGUCGGAAUUGCUAGUAAUCGCGGAUCAGCAUGCCGCGGUGAAUACGUUCCCGGGUCUUGUACACACCGCCCG